GAAGGUGGCAAGCGUUAUUCGGAUUUACUGGGCGUACAGGGAGCGUAGGCGGUUUGGUAAGCCCUCUGUGAAAUCUUCAGGCUUAACCUGGAGAAGUCGGAGGGGACUGCUGGGCUAGAGGACGGGAGAGGAGCGCGGAAUUCCCGGUGUAGCGGUGAAAUGCGUAGAGAUCGGGAGGAAGGCCGGUGGCGAAGGCGGCGCUCUGGAACGUUUCUGACGCUGAGGCUCGAAAGCGUGGGGAGCAAACAGGAUUAGAUACCCUGGUAGUCCACGCCUUAAACUAUGAAUACUAAGUGUCGGCGGUUUACCGCCGGUGCCGCAGCUAACGCAUUAAGUAUUCCGCCUGGGAAGUACGGCCGCAAGGUUG
rnacentral:rRNA from 1 species